UAGUAAGACCCUACGUCUAAAAACUUGGCUGGGUGUGGUGGCACACACCUGUUGUUGUUGGAAAGGCGCCCUCCCUGUUUUAAGGCCCAGCAGUGGCCCCUCCCCUGGUCCUCAGCAGCGUGCUGCAGCCUCCCGUUGGUGAAGUGCUUCCUCUCUUGCUGUCUACCUGCUGCUUCCAGUCUCCGGCGUCAGCUCCUCCUCUCCCAGGGGCAGCCUCACUUGUCUCCUCUAUCUGCACUGUUCUUCUGGGGACUCUAAUCCUCUCUAAGGGCACCUUGUUGAUCGCCUUGUUGUUUAGUACCAAAUUCAUGUCUUCAGCCCAGAGGCCAAGCCUGAGCAUCACCCUCUAACAUCU
rnacentral:lncRNA from 1 species